ACGAAAACUCGAUUGUUUUAGAGAAAAAAUAGUCUUCUAAAACACUCAAGUUGGCGUGA
rnacentral:pre_miRNA from 1 species